AGUCGAGCGGUAAGGCCUUUCGGGGUACACGAGCGGCGAACGGGUGAGUAACACGUGGGUGAUCUGCCCUGCACUUCGGGAUAAGCCUGGGAAACUGGGUCUAAUACCGGAUAUGACCUCCUAUCGCAUGGUGGGUGGUGGAAAGAUUUAUCGGUGCAGGAUGGGCCCGCGGCCUAUCAGCUUGUUGGUGGGGUAAUGGCCUACCAAGGCGACGACGGGUAGCCGACCUGAGAGGGUGACCGGCCACACUGGGACUGAGACACGGCCCAGACUCCUACGGGAGGCAGCAGUGGGGAAUAUUGCACAAUGGGCGAAAGCCUGAUGCAGCGACGCCGCGUGAGGGAUGACGGCCUUCGGGUUGUAAACCUCUUUCAGCAGGGACGAAGCGCAAGUGACGGUACCUGCAGAAGAAGCACCGGCUAACUACGUGCCAGCAGCCGCGGUAAUACGUAGGGUGCAAGCGUUGUCCGGAAUUACUGGGCGUAAAGAGUUCGUAGGCGGUUUGUCGCGUCGUUUGUGAAAACCAGCAGCUCAACUGCUGGCUUGCAGGCGAUACGGGCAGACUUGAGUACUGCAGGGGAGACUGGAAUUCCUGGUGUAGCGGUGAAAUGCGCAGAUAUCAGGAGGAACACCGGUGGCGAAGGCGGGUCUCUGGGCAGUAACUGACGCUGAGGAACGAAAGCGUGGGUAGCGAACAGGAUUAGAUACCCUGGUAGUCCACGCCGUAAACGAUGGAUACUAAGUGUCGGCGGGUU
rnacentral:rRNA from 1 species